UUGCUGUGUUGACUUUUUCAACAGUACAAAUGAAGUAACCUUCAAAUCUAUAAGUGUUUCAACAAGUUAGUGCUAAACAUAUUUUACCAGAGUACUAUGCAGCUGGAUAUCUUCUGUUCCACUUCUACAAAUUCAUUUUCAGAUUUCUGUACAAUCCAAAUUCAUUGAUACAAUUCGUAUUCUUAGACUUAUAGGUAUUUCAUUAAUGAAAAUAAAAGAUAUAUUCAUAAGAAUAAAUACUAAUUUAAUCAUAAAAUUGUGUCAUCAAAUUGUGUAUAAAUACAAUUUAUUACUGUUACUUCUACAACUAUUCUAUGUUUCCAUCUAUUCAUAGGGUACAUUACCCAUCAGCCAGUUGGAAGCAAUACCAUCUGGAUCGAACCUAAAAUUAGCCCAGUUAUAUGGAAAGAUCAUCGCAUGAGAGAAAGAAGAGGGCAAGCAGAAGAAAUUUACUGCUUUACUGGCAGAUGCUUCUGGUUUCAUCAAGUGUUCUAUCAGCAACAAGUACUUCCGAACAGUAAAUCUGGCAAAAUCAAAUGACACUACAAUACAUGUCAAAGACUUCCUGCUGGCAAAAAACAUAGUAUAUAUCUCAGACUUCACCACAGUCAUGAGGUGCCAUAUCGUAGUGAAUGUCACACCAGAAAAGCGACAACGCGGAACAGUGCUCUUGGACAAACCAGACAGUGUUGAAGCUAUUAAAGCGUCCCCUUUAAAGACACGUGUUUCAUUGAAAGGCAAAAUCGUCAAAGUAAGAGAUUACAGUAUUUAUCUAUACAAUAAAUUUGCACAGCAAACUCCUGCCUUCCAUAUCAGUGGUAUCCACCAAUAUCACUUAAAGAAUCUUACUACUAAGUUGAACUGCUUCUCGCACAAAACACAUCAAAAUCUUAACUGUCUUCUCUUCAUUUGACUGAGCUAAGAAUUUUUAAAAUUCUCGCACUGGCCCAAACAAUGCCAUGUAGUAAUGACUUAUUGUCAAGCAUGCAGUUUCUUUCACAGUUCCUACAGUUCUGUAUUAAUUAAACUCAAUAUAUGUCUAAAACUAUUGUCAAAUUAUUAUAUCUUCCCUUUGUUUUAAAGAUAUAAGUGCACUAAACCUGGGUUCUAUUGUCGUAGGAUUGCCUAUAUUAUGCACACUUUUUACAAAUUAUAUUAUAAACAUGUGAAUACCAUAUAGUACUUACUGACGACUGUUACAUGCAAGAGAUUUCAAGAACUUGUAUGUAUUACAAGAAUGAUGUUUGCUACUUUUAUUAGCAAAUGUCAUUGCAAAAGUGUAAAUAUGUUGUUAAGUGAAAAACAUAAGUGAAAAACGUAGUUAAAACGCUUAGCCUAAAAUAUAUAAUCCUCUGAUCAAUAGUUCUUUGACAUUGUUUCACAAUUUUGACAAAUAACAAACACCGUCGAUUGUUAAUAUUUUGCUAAAAAGCUAAACCUUUCUCUCUUUAAUAAAUCAGACCGCUUCAAAAAAUAGGAAUUAACAAAACAGGUGAGGAGAAAGAGUUACUAAACGUUAGACUGAAAGACAACACAGGUGUUAUUCCAAUAUCCUUGUGGGGGAAGCACGCCACUACCCACCAAGCAUUAAAGGUGAGUGACUGCAUAAGCGUGGAGAAAGGAGAAAAGGCUGUCUUUCAAAACAAACCAACAGUGAACACAUGGGAAGACAGCACAACAAUAACACUCCUUACAGAAGACAUGACAGAAAUAACGGACAGUGAUGAUGAAACCGCGCAUCAAAGUGCCUCACCUCCACCUGGCACCACGACAGGAGAGUGGGUAUCCUUGGGUAACAUCACAAAAUAUGAAGCAUGCAAAUAGAAACGUUGUUACUUGAAAAAAUUAACUAUAGACAAUGUGUGCCCGACAUGUGGAAAGACUUAGUCUGUCAAAUGUCCCUCCACUAUGGCCUUGAUUGCCACAGUAGG